AAGAGUGGGCUAAGGGGGUCCCGAUUCACAUAUUCUUUGGACAAGACCCUCCUCCGGACAUAUACCGAAUUGUUGGAGUGCACGUACAAAUACAUGCGCACGAACGAAGGAGCUUCUGAUCGGCAUCUGAUCGAGAGCAAGGGUCAGAAGGAGAAGCGAAAGAAAAAUCAAGCUCCUGCUGAACCCAGCAGGCCCCCGAUCGAUAAACGGGUCUCAUCCCGACGAUGGAGUUCAAGAUCGCCCCAACGGUAGAGUU
rnacentral:lncRNA from 1 species